CGUUGUUAGGGACGCGGCGGAGACGUCUGUUUCCAGGAAGUGACAUCAGCGGCCGCGGAGAUGGACGAUUUACUGGACCUGGGCGAGGAGAGACGUCGCAGCUCGGCUACCUCUGGGGCCAAGAUGGGCCGCCGAGCCCAACAGGAGUCACCUCAGGCUGAGAGUUACUUCAGUAGCAAGAAUUCUUCAUUGACGCAGACUGAAGAGGCUCCCCCACCGAAACCACCUCGAAGGCAGGGAGGCUGGGCAGACGACUCCAUGAAAGUGUCAAAGUG